GUCUAUGGCCAUGUCACCCUGAACGUGCCCGAUCUCGUCAGAUCUCAGAAGCUAAGCAGGGUCGGGCCUCGAUAGUACUUGGAUAGGAGAACACCUAGGAACACCAGGUGCUGUAGGUG
ensembl:rRNA 5S_rRNA 5S ribosomal RNA